UGUGUUUCCCCUUCAUCCUGACUCUCUCGAGGAUCCAGCCCUCUGACUGCCUAUAAUAUUUCUACCUAAUAUUAUAGGGUGUGUGUCCACAUCAGAGACAAGAUCAGCCGAAAAAUGUAUGCGGUGUGAUCGGACACUAUGGUUACCUGCCCUCUGGGCAGUGCCACUCACAGCUGGCGAGUCACCCUUCAUCCCAGCAUCACGUACCAGUAAGAUCCAGCCACCUCUGGAAAAGUUCACCUAUGACCACACGAGGCUCUGAAGGGACAUCUGAACACA